UACGUAGGGCGCAAGCGUUGUCCGGAAUUAUUGGGCGUAAAGAGCUCGUAGGCGGCUUGUCACGUCGGGUGUGAAAGCCCGGGGCUUAACCCCGGGUCUGCAUUCGAUACGGGCUAGCUAGAGUGUGGUAGGGGAGAUCGGAAUUCCUGGUGUAGCGGUGAAAUGCGCAGAUAUCAGGAGGAACACCGGUGGCGAAGGCGGAUCUCUGGGCCAUUACUGACGCUCAUGCACGAAAGCGUGGGGAGCAAACAGG
rnacentral:rRNA from 1 species